CCAGCUCUUAACCAGAGCAUGCUAUUUUACAAGAUCAAAAGACAUGCCAGGGAAAUACACAAGGCCACCUCUCAGCAUGAGAGAGAACCAAUACGAGGAGGCCAUAGCAUCCCUGCCGGCCAGAGCAAACACUGGGUGGAGAAGCCUGGCUGGAGGCCAGCGGGUCACUCACCACAUUCCCCCUCAAGUCUGUUUCUUCUGACAGCCUGAGACGUGCAGAUUUGAUCCUACCAGCAACCCCUGGAGCCUCAGGUUUGAAUAACAAUAUCCUAAAAUGGUGGAUCCUUUGUCAGCCUGAGUCCCUGAGUGGCUACAAGGAGCAGAGCCUUUCUAAUGAACCUACACUGGACGUGCAGAAUGAGCAAGAAAUAAAUCUCAGAACCCAGGCUGCACGUCUGCUGUGCACUUCCAUGGUUACCCGAACUUAGAGGUCUGGUCUCCUGGAUCCUCAUGAGCCUCCCUCGGUUACCAUGGCUACAACACACGGUUUGUGCAAACAGCAUUUCUGAUCUCAUCUACUGCUUGCGCAUUUGGAAAGUAAGGCAUUUCGAGAACCAAUUCACUUGGAAACAUUAAAAUCAAUUAACACGUUUAGAGUGUCGUGACCAAGCAAAAUAAGCCACAAUGCAGGAACCUCAUUUUCCUCCCAUAGGAAAAAGAAUGACUGUUUGAAAAAUCAU